rnacentral:rRNA from 1 species
UACGGGGGGGGCAAGCGUUGUUCGGAAUUACUGGGCGUAAAGGGCUCGUAGGCGGCCAACUAAGUCGGAUGUGAAAUCCCCAGGCUCAACUUGGGAACUGCAUCCGAUACUGGAUGGCUUGAAUUCGGGAGAGGGAUGCAGAAUUCCAGGUGUAGCGGUGAAAUGCGUAGAUAUCUGGAGGAACACCGGUGGCGAAGGCGGCAUCCUGGACCGAGAUUGACGCUGAGGCGCGAAAGCCAGGGGAGCAAACGGG